GAUUGACAAAACUGCGAACGGCUCAUUAAAACAGUUACGAUUGCUUUGAAGGGCAAAUUCUACACGGAUAACCGUGGGAAACCAAGGCUAAUACGUGCGUACGAUCCUUUCGGGUCAGCGUUUAUUAGAUAAAGAACCAACAUUUUGGUGCUUCAUGGUAACCAUUCGAAUCGCGGCUCGCUGCGAUGGUUCAUUCAAGUUUCUGACCUAUCAGCUCUCGACGGUCGGGUAGUGGCCCACCGUGGCUUUGACGGGUGACGGGGAAUUGGGGUUCGAUUCCGGAGAGGGAGCCUGAGAAACGGCUACCACGUCUAAGGAUGGCAGCAGGCGCGUAAAUUACCCAAUCCCGACUUGGGGAGGUAGUGACGUCUAAGGAUGGCAGCAGGCGCGUAAAUUACCCAAUCCCGACUUGGGGAGGUAGUGACAAGAAAUAGCAACUCGAGGCAUAUGUCUUGUGAUUGCAAUGAGUAGAAUCUAAACGGUUCUACGAUUAACAAUUAGAGGGCAAGUCUGGUGCCAGCAGCCG
rnacentral:rRNA from 1 species